GGCGGGAGAUUGCGGGAGAUGAGUCCGAGAGUUAGAGCAAAAGCUUCCGAAAUAUGGGAAUAUUUCAGGCCAACUGGUAAAAGAGUUGUUCAAGACAUUUGGAGCGGUUUUUUCUCUCCUCCAUAUCACCUCCGGGGCUCCAGAGAUGCGUUCACAGAAAGAAAAAGUCAACAAAGCAGUCCGCCGUCUUCACAACUCGGAGACAAACUAGCAGGCGCUACUAACCGGAGCAAGGACUAACCUCGCCUCAUAACGAGGCUGUGACCUA